CAUAUUUUUUUCCAUUAUUUCAUGAUUGUGUGUUUUAAAUUAAUUUUGUUUAUUUAUUCAAUUAAAAUUAUUUUGGAGGCAAUUGCAUUAGUUUUGCAUUUUAUUGAGGUAUUGUUUAUUCUAUUUCAGAUAAUGUUGCCAAACGAUUUACAGUCGAUAAUCUUUCGAAAGCAGAAAAACUCAGUGUCAAACAAAGAAUACGCGAAUUAUUUGAGAUAUGAUUGAAAUUUGCAAA